rnacentral:rRNA from 1 species
CAGUAGCCACGGUAAUACGUAGGUGGCAAGCGUUGUCCGGAAUUAUUGGGCGUAAAGCGCGCGCAGGUGGUUUAUAAGUCUGAUGUGAAAGCCCACGGCUCAACCGUGGAGGGUCAUUGGAAACUGUUAAACUUGAGUGCAGGAGAGAAAAGUGGAAUUCCUAGUGUAGCGGUGAAAUGCGUAGAGAUUAGGAGGAACACCAGUGGCGAAGGCGGCUUUUUGGCCUGUAACUGACACUGAGGCGCGAAAGCGUGGGGAGCAAACAGGAUUAGAUACCCCUGUAGUCCCUGUCUCUUAUACC